GUUUAUGUGGCCGAUAUAGGUGUUAAUUUCUUAAAUUAAAUAAGAUAAUAAUAAGUU
rnacentral:tRNA from 1 species